rnacentral:tRNA from 1 species
GGAAGCGUCGCAUAGUGGCCAAUUGCACAGGUUUGCUAAACCUGACCCCGCAAGGGGUUCAUGGGUUCGAAUCCCAUCGCUUCCG